rnacentral:tRNA from 1 species
CAAGGGGUAGUUUAAAUGCUAAUAAUUUUAGCUUUGGGAGCUAUAGAUGGAAGUUGAAGUCUUCCCCCUUUGA